UUUGACCUCAAAUCAGGUAGGAUUACC
rnacentral:rRNA from 2 species